CACUCGCUCCAGUGAUGUUUGAGCCCCAGCAUAGAUCAGCAUGCCAGGAAGCAGCCCACCGGACCCACCCCUGAUCAUGGCACUGGACAUUGUUUUCCGUGCUUUUCUCAGGCUGGUUUCUGCCUGUCCCAACCCUGGCCAUGGCUGACAAGGGGCCCAGGGACACUGGAGCAGAGAGACCUGCUGGUCCUUGGGGUUUCUUGCAAGAGUGAAUCAUCUGUGAACACUUCCUGUGAACGUGUGACUAUGAUUAUGGAACACUCUGUUGCAUCAAGAUGGCCAGAGAUUGUCUCAGAGUCCAGGCAGUGGGAGGAGGGGGGAUUUGUUUCCUGGCUGGGUGGUCGUAGGGCAUCAAGGGAUGAGCAGCUUUGGUUGUCUGGGAUUUCAGCAGCUUGAGGGGAGCUGUAGGGCCCCAGAGCUGUCGCUGUGGCUGUGGUGUCAGAAAUGUAAGCAAGGUGCCUCCAUGGAGGUUAGCGAGGGUGCCCCUCUGAAUGCCGGGUGGAAUGCAACCUUUCGCAUGGAGGAGGCCCUCAGCAGCUGACCUCUGUCUUCCCUGUGUAGAGGGAGGGAGGCUGAGGCUGGGGCUGAGCGAGGGGUAAAGUAAGCCACGUGUCUCAUCAGCUAGCCUGCAGCAAGCACAGCCCUCUGGGAGGGCUGGUUCUAUCCUCCUCCUUGGUGUGAAAUCCAUCAAUCUAAUAGGGAUCCUUAUUUUCCCAGCCACCAAGUCACAAUGAGCAAUAAUCUCUUCUUGUUGGUGCAUAUAAAUUUGCUUCAUUCUUUUUUAAACAGCUGCCUUGUGUCGCCUUUUGCAUUCAGCCCAAGUCCAGCCUAGGAGGACAGCCUUAUCUUAAGUCACUGAGGGAACUAGCUUGCCUAACUGAAAGGGCUUUGCCCUGGAAGGAGAAGGGUCUUCUGGAAACAUAAAACGUUUCAGGGGAGGGCAGUCCUGAAUGAGAUGGCUCUAGGGGGUGGGGGACACUGGACCGCCUGAAGGUACUGGGCAUCUGGCCUGGGCUUUUGAGGAAAUGCAAAGCCAUGCUAUAGAUGAUGCUGAGCAAAGGCGGGAGAGAGACGUGGGGGUCCUACCGGGGUCACUUGAAAACCCCUUCUCCGGCCUCCCCCACGCUAACCCAUCUCUCCUGGCACGCAAGUCUGGAAAGGCCACUGGCCCUAACCAUGCUGGCUCUGCGUCCACCUUCCUCUUCAAUUCAAAUGGCUUGGAUAAAGCCAUGGGUUAUGACGCUUAACCCAUCACUGUGGGAAACUGGAUGACUUGGGGAACAAAGCCAACCUUUUGCUGUCUUGCGGAGGCAGGCAGUGGAGGGUUAUUGCCAAAAGCCUGAGCUCCGGAGCUGUGAUCUCUGAGUCUCAGUUUCCCCGUGUAAAAUGUGAUUCGAAUGAUACCUACUUCACAGGGGUAUUGUAGGGAUUGAAGGAAAUAAUGGGGAGAAGGCAUUUAUCCAAUGCCCGGCAUAGACUCUCGCAGUAACUCCCAGUUGCUCAGGCUAGUCGGGGAGGGUGGGACUGCGGCUCUAGCAGAGCCAUGGCGCCACCUUGCGGUUCUGUCGGCCAGGACAGUCGGUUAAUCAGAUUCAAAUCCAGUGACCCUUUUUCAAGCGCCUGUGAGUAGGCCUGUGCUGGGUUGAACUCAUUAUUAUUUAAACAUGUAAACUGUGUAAUGGUAAGUACAGUGCUAGUGUCUAACAGAACAUCUUGGAAAGAUCUUACAGUGCGAUGCUGGAGAAACAUCGUUUGGAAGGAACCCGCUCUCCACGCCCCCAUCAAAGGGACCCCCUUCUAAGCUACCAUGACUGCUCAAAUACCCCAGACGUUCCCAGCUUCAGCGACUAACUGGAAACAAGGUUUUGUUAGCUUAAGAGCAAGGAGAGGGGAUUCAUGAUCAGAUUUAAAAUGUCUCCUCAGUUUCCAAGUCCUGCCAUAUUGCUUCUCCCAGUUUCACUCAAACCCCCGCUCCCCUCCCCAGCCCCCUAGCCCACCACUGGUCUGCUGUCUUUCCUCUCUCCGGACCCGCUCAGGUCUCCCAUUCCCUUUGCUUUUCCCCUCCACCCCCACCUCCACUGUAACCUGCUAUGGUUAGUCUCCUCCUCUUCCUGCUGCACCCCUC
rnacentral:lncRNA from 1 species